AUAGUAGUAAGACUUGCAUACAUUGUGUGUUCCAGCAUUUGCUUCUUCACGGAUAGGAUCACGAAGUGGUGUUGUGAGAUACGGCAAGUUCUUCUGCAGCUUUUCACAGGCGAGCCCUCUCUCUUCACCUAUUAUACACUCUCCCUCGCAUUGCUAUCCUUAUGUUGCGCUUCUUUAUCGAGUCACGUGUCCUAUUCCACUUGUUUACCCUAAUACUCCUAUAUGUAUCAUUCCUUACCCAUAGCCGUUGCUUGAUGUUUGAGCCUUGCGAGUCGUAGGCGUGUUUAGGCUCUGUUGUUUAUCUCGAUCUGUUAUCGGGAUAUGUUGGGUUAUUGGGAGGUUAUCACAUGCUAUAUUAGUUGUUGGAGAUAAUCACACUUUACUUUAUUGUUAACAACUAAAAUUGUAAGCAGGGGCAUCUGUGAGCCCCUUUGCGAAAGCAUCGGAACUUUGACUUGCUAAUGUCCCCUAGGACCCGAGUUCUUGUUAUUUGUUCCGAGAUUGAGCGCUCUACCCGUACGUGGGGGAGUGGGACCCCCAUCACCCACUACCUUUCCUCGAGUCUGUUUAUUGGGAGCCACAACCUUGGUUUUAUUUGCCCAUAUGCACGAUGCACGAUUUACUUCUGUUGCCUUCGGGUGUUUAUAUUCUGUUUUGUACUCAUAUCGUGGAACGAUUAGCGACAGCAGGUUGUUCACACUUAGCUUAGCCGCUGUCACAAACCUCUGGGUCUGUGUCGGAGUACGGCCGGACUUCGUCACGGGUAGCUUAGUUGGGUGGCUCCCAUUAAACUUUCUCUUGCAUUGGGAACGGUCUUGUUGUGAGACUCCACCUGUAGUAAGUGGGUUCGAGCAUGCGUAUGGUUACAUUUGGGCAACCCCUGCAGGGUGUACAUCUUAUCGAUAAGCCGUGUCCGCGGUUAUGGACGACUUGGAAUUGUGUAGCUUGAUCAUAGAACAACUUACACCUUAUUGCCUGUUGCUAAUAAUUUGCUAAUAAAACUUUUCCAAAAAAUGUGUGUGCCUUUGCCAGUACCUCUUUGCGAAGGGGGAUCACAUCGGCUGUGUUAUGUUUGCAGAGUAUAGAACUGUUACCUUGUGCGCUCUCUUAUCUUCUCUGAGUAGACGGAUGUUAUAGCGUGUCUCUAUUGGUUAUAGUUUUGCUGCCGCUAAACCUACCAUAUAGCCCCAGGCGAUAUAUAUAUUCGCCCGACGAGCAUAGCCAUUUCUAGUCUCGCUAAGUACGUGCCGGAGUUCGUUCCUUGGUACUUACUCUCGCCUUUCCUCUUUCUCUUUUGCUUCCUCCCUUUUGUCGGCAACCGAUGGCCCGACUUUGACAGGUACGAGAUGACGACGUUAGCAAGGUUACCCUUCCGGCUUGGCCUGGGCAGGGUUAUGGACGCCACUGGUUAUCUUCAGGACUCUUAGUCCAAUUUGUAUCUUGUCCGUACUCGGACGUAUUUGAUCUUCUGUAUGAUUUCGAUCUUUGUAUGUAUCUAUUUGUAUCUUGACUCGUUGGAGUCAUUGUUGUAUAUAUGUAUCUUGUGGGCUCUAUUGUAAUCCUGUUGUAAUGUUA